rnacentral:lncRNA from 1 species
CUGCAAGUCACUAUUUGUGCUACAGAAAGUAAUGAAAAUCGAACAAAAUAUAAAGAAGCAGUGCAGAAAGUUUUUGACAGCCUUCUCCAAUCAAAAGAAGUCACAGCUGUUGGCCUGAUGCAGACUUCAUCCAUGUUGAUUAAUAGAGUGAAGGUAUUCCUUAAAGCACUAAGCUGGAUCAUGUUUUUUGUUUCUGGAAGCUCUUUAUGACCACAUGACAGAGGUAAGUGUAGGGGCACACUUUUCUGGAAAGCAG